rnacentral:rRNA from 1 species
ACUGCAGGCUGCAACUCGCCUGCACGAAGUCGGAAUGCUAGUAAUCGUAGGUCAGCAUACUACGGUGAAUACGUUCCCGGGCCUUGUACACACCGCCCGCCAAACCAUGAGAGUUGGCAACACCCGAAGUCGGUAGUCUAACCGCAAGGAGGACGCCGCCGAAGGUGGGGUUGAUGAUUAGGGUUAAGUCGUAACAAGGUACC